UCCCAAGUGGUCUAGUGGUUAGGAUUCCACGCUCUCACCGUGGCGGCCGGGCUUCGAUUACCCGCUUGGGAG
rnacentral:tRNA from 1 species